UUGGUAUGGCUUGGCUUAGUGCUCCCCGAUUGACCCGCUGAAGCAUGUGGACAUAAAUCCAGGGUAACGAUACGGACACAGGUCCGUGUGACACAUAACAACGAGCGACGGCACGCUGGGGAGCAGUGAUGCUUUAUAACACGAGAGAAAAUGUGACGAGGUGAACAAGAGCAGGCGCUGUGGCACAACAACGAUAGAGUGACACGAGGAGGACGACAACCACAGCAACUGUGGCAACAUGGGCAAAGAAAAACGUCCCGGGCGAUACGGCUGUGACAGAGGAACGAUCGACAUGAUAAAUCCACCUAUUGGAGUGAAAGAUGGUUCCGGAAAUCCGCUGUGGACCAGAGAGCAAAGGUGGCUAUCGAGCAAAAGAAGACAGAGAAACCUCCUAAAACAGGGAGAAGAAUACAGCUGCUCUCCGCAGUUGCUCCGAUCUGACUCCCUGGACCCGUCUCUGAAUCCAUCAUCGUCUCCACUCUGGGAUUGCGGGUGUGUGUGUGGGGGGGCUACUGUUAUCACCCAUACCGCGAUCUGGGGGAUUUAUUUUGGCUGCCUCUCCGGGCCGGUUUAGCCAGCUAGAGCAUGAUGAAAAUAAGUAAUAGGUUUGUUAGUAAGCAGGUCAGAUUCAUCCUGCUGGGGCGCAUAAUAUACGGAGGCAGGAGCGGAGGACGGUGGGUGUGCGGGGCACAUGAGGACAGCAGACGAGCCCCCCCCCCAACACGCGAUCCCGUUUACAGGCGCGCGCCGCAAACCGCCGGGGGAGAUGCGCGAAAGGAGGCUAGACGAGGGUCGCGUUUGUUUUGACAUUUUUUAAAAUGUCAACAGAGCGAAUGUAUGCCGAAUAAAGAUCAGGCAGAGCCUCUUCUGCUUGUGCAAAAGCAGCGCAAAAUAGUCGGAGAGCUAAUUCUUUUGUGAUGAAUUUCGG